AACACACAUCCCGCACAGCCGCACUCUUCGCCUCUCACCCCUCGCAAGUCGCAUCGUCUCUCUGUCAUGCAGCCUAUACUGUUCUCCGCCUCGAAGUCUCCGGCUCUCCACCAUCGGCCUCUCCAGCUCUCUGACCUUGGCGCUCGCAUCGUCUCUCUCUGUCUUGCAGCCUCUCCGGUUCCGGUUCUCUGCCCUCGGCGUCUCCGGCUCCAUGUCCUCAGCGCUUUCAUACUCGAAGGUGCUGGUAGAUAGGCCCAGCCAACCUGGUAGAAGAGGGGUUGAGGAAUUCCAAAGUCGUUUCUCCCCUCGCUCUAAAUCUGCAUCCUACCAUAGAGCUUUCUUGCCAGGUGGAAUCAGCAAAUGUCAAUGAGCAUGCUAAAAUUGGGUCAAGGAAACUGCUCAACAUAUGUCACAUUCUCAACCUGGUAUAGUGGGACAGAACCAACCAACGGGAGUUAAUGUUCAAGCCCUUGCUAAGCUGACUCAUGCUCUUGAAAAAAGGUGUACAUGGUGAUGAGAACCCUUGGUAAUGCUGGGAUAUAAAUUGUUUUAGUAUGCUGUUCAAAUCCUUAAAAGAAGGGGUUCUAUCAGUUUUGCAUCUCCCAGUCCACUCCUUCCCCAAAACAAAUGAGAAACACAAAUAAAAAGUUAUUCUGAGUAUCACUACAUAAAUAUAAAAAAUUGUAGGAAGUUGCACACUGUGAAAUUCUACAAUUCUUUAUGAAAAUGAGCUUUAAAAUGGUAAUAAAGGGGAAUACUUCUUUGUUUCCAGAUCUUUCUCUUUUGUGCUUCAAUGUGAAUGUGUGACUUCAUCUCAAGGUAGAUGUAUUUAUAGGCUAUUUCCCCCCUAAAAUUUAGAUUCAAAAUAUGUAAUCAUUGUUUUUUAGCAUGCCUUUUAUUGUAACUUGUAAAAUAAACAACACAUUGGUAAAUGAUACUAUUUAAUGACUUGUUUUAA